rnacentral:rRNA from 1 species
CCUACGGGUGGCAGCAGUGGGGAAUAUUGGACAAUGGGCGAAAGCCUGAUCCAGCCAUGCCGCGUGUGUGAAGAAGGCCUUCGGGUUGUAAAGCACUUUCAGUGGGGAAGAAAGCCUUGGGGCUAAUACCCUCGAGGAAGGACAUCACCCACAGAAGAAGCACCGGCUAACUCCGUGCCAGCAGCCGCGGUAAUACGGAGGGUGCGAGCGUUAAUCGGAAUUACUGGGCGUAAAGCGCGCGUAGGCGGUCUGAUAAGCCGGUUGUGAAAGCCCCGGGCUCAACCUGGGAACGGCAUCCGGAACUGUCAGGCUAGAGUGCAGGAGAGGAAGGUAGAAUUCCCGGUGUAGCGGUGAAAUGCGUAGAGAUCGGGAGGAAUACCAGUGGCGAAGGCGGCCUUCUGGACUGACACUGACGCUGAGGUGCGAAAGCGUUGGUAGCAAACAGGAUUAGAUACCCCAGUAGUC